rnacentral:rRNA from 1 species
GGAGGAAAAGAAACCAACAGGGAUUGCCUCAGUAGCGGCGAGUGAAGCGGCAAAAGCUCAAAUUUGAAAUCUGGCGUCUUUGGCGUCCGAGUUGUAAUUUGAAGAAGGUAUCUUUGGGCCCGGCUCUUGUCUAUGUUCCUUGGAACAGGACGUCACAGAGGGUGAGAAUCCCGUGCGAUGAGAUGACCCGGGUCUGUGUAAAGUUCCUUCGACGAGUCGAGUUGUUUGGGAAUGCAGCUCUAAGUGGGUGGUAAAUUCCAUCUAAAGCUAAAUAUUGGCGAGAGACCGAUAGCGAACAAGUACAGUGAUGGAAAGAUGAAAAGAACUUUGAAAAGAGAGUGAAAAAGUACGUGAAAUUGUUGAAAGGGAAGGGCUUGAGAUCAGACUUGGUAUUUUGCAUGCUGCUCUCUCGGGGGCGGCCGCUGCGGUUUACCGGGCCAGCAUCGGUUUGGAGCGGCAGGAUAAUGGCGGAGGAAUGUGGCACGGCUUCUGCUGUGUGUUAUAGCCUCUGACGAUACUGCCAGCCUAGACCGAGGACUGCGGUUUUUACCUAGGA